ACUCAAAUGAAUUGACGGGGGCCCGCACAAGCGGUGGAGCAUGUUGUUUAAUACGUCACUAACCGUAGAACCUUACCAGGGCUUGACAUCCGGCGACAACCCAUGAAAGUGGGCCUUCCCCGCAAGGGGACGCCGAGACAGGUGUUGCAUGGCUGUCGUCAGCUCGUGUCGUGAGAUGUUGGGUUAAGUCCCGCAACGAGCGCAACCCCCAUCCCAUGUUGCCAGCGGAUCAAGCCGGGGACUCUUGGGGAACUGCCCGGGUAACCGGGAGGAAGGGGGGGACGACGUCAAGUCAGCAUGGCCCUUACGCCCUGGGCUACAAACAUGCUACAAUGGGCGGCAGACAGAGGGAUCCGAGGUCGCGAGACGGAGGCAACCCCAGAAAUCCGCCCCCAGUUCAGAUCGCAGGCUGCAACUCGCCUGCGUGAAGUCGGAAUCGCUAGUAACCGCCGGUCAGAUAAACGGCGGUGAAUACGUUCCCGGGCCUUGUACACACCGCCCGU
rnacentral:rRNA from 1 species